rnacentral:sRNA from 1 species
CCUGUGGAUUGUCAAACAAACCGUAGUAGCGGGAAUGCGGCGAGGCGGGACAGGAUGAAGCAGGAA